AUAUAUAUAUAUAUAUAUAUAUAUAUAUUAGUGUUGUAACCAAAAUUUCGGAAAAUAAUAAUUUUAUAUGGUUUGCUAUUUUAACAGUCAAGUAGAAGGUUAACUAGUACCGCUAACUAGUGUUUAAUCCUAAUUUAGUGUUUCAAUAUUUUAAAAAAUAUUUCUUACCGAUCCAACCGUUUGGAUGUUAAUAUAUAUACAUUUUAGUGAUAUAAACAAAGUUUCAAAAAAUUAAAAUUAUUUGGUUAGCUAUUUUAAGAGUCAACUAGCGGUUUGUCUUUAUUUUUUUUUUCUGGCUCGGCUCGACUCGACUCGACUUGGCUCGGCUUGUAUUUGUUCGCGAACAAGCUCGUGUUCGGCUCGUUAGUUAACGAGCCGAGCUUGAACACAAUUUUUGUUCGAUAAAAAAGCUCGGCUCGGCUCGACUCGUCAGAAAAAAAAUUAAAGCUCGGCUCGGUUCGGUCAAAACUCGGCUCGGCUCGGUUCGUGAACAGCCCUAAUAGUGCAAACCUAAUGCAAAAAAAAGGAAGCUUUUUUAAUGCAAAAAGCAGAGCAGGAUGUACAUAACAGUGCAGUUUAAGUACCAAAAAUAGGGGAGUUCUGGCGAGGCAACUGCAGAAAAAACAGAGUAGCUAUGCAACGACCAAUCGUCCAUAAUUAUGAAUGUUUGACUACUGAAGAUAGAGCAGAAUGAAAUAGCUCCUAGCCCGCUUCGCAUGGUAAGUUUAUGAUUUUUUUUUAAUUUUAGAUUUUUUUUAUGUUUAUAGAAUUCAUUGAUUUUAAAAAGAAAUUCUAAAUUACGUAUUUGUUCUUUGUUUACGGGCACAUGAAUCAUAGUUAAAUCUUAAAAAAGUUCUUCCAUAUGUAAUUCUGUUAAUGUAAUUUUGGAAAUAGAAUUAUGUUUCCAUAUUUUAUAGUGUGUGUUUCUUUCGCGUAAUGACUUUCAAGUUAAAAACAAAUGCUGUAAAUUAUAAUGUUUAAUGUUAUCCAAAACAUUUUUUGUAAUAAAUAGUUAUUGUUUCUUAAGAACUUGGAAUUUUAAUUUAAUUUAAUUUGUACAUAAAACGUUUUCAACGUAAAUAAUAAUAUACCCUUAAUGAUAUAAUUUAAUUAUUUUGCGAAUUUUUGUUUAAAAAUAAAUCAUAUAAAUUAAUGUCUGAAUUAACUCAUCAUCAAAAUAUUGAUAUGACCGGGGAAAAUAAAAUUUGUCAAAAAGAUUAAGUGAUAUGCCUAGAAUAUUUUUAUUUUAAAAUUGAAAUCAAUUACAUUAUUAUUAAAAAAAAUUAAAUCAAAUGAUUGUUCAGCCCAUGAAUAUAACUCCCCGCCCAUUUGAGCCCAUUUAUUUUAUAGCUCAUCCUAAUCUCAGUAUGGGCUUCUGAUAUGGACACGGGCUUCUUCUUUGUUACUCCCUCCGUAUCUUUUUUCUUUUCCUAUUUGUAAUGUCGGUACUGUUCAUAACAUGAGACAAAUUACUAAUUUACAUCUAAUCUAUAAAACUAAAUAUAGUCAUGAGUGAUCUUGUUAGAUUCGUAUUCACGAGUACUUUAAUACGGUGAAGUUUUUAUAUUUAAUGCUACUACGAAAUGAAAGAUAUUAACGAUCAAAAGUGUGUGUUGGCAAACGUGAAAAGUACAAACAGGAAAAGUAUUUAGGGACGGAGGGAGUAACCUUUUCGAAGACGCAUUAAUACAACAAUCUGUGCGUAACGACUGUGGGUCAGGGCAUUCUAGGAUUUUAUCUAACAAUCGCAGAAGGCAGCACUUUUGUUGACUUGUCUCUAGUUGAUUCGAACAAUUCACUUUUUCUACAGGAAUAUGAGAUCUAUGGAUUGUACCGGUCUUGUAGCUGAUAAGUUCUCAUUCUACUAACCUAUGAAGAUACUCUGUCUAAUAAACUGAAUGUUCCUACGAAAUUCUGCUCAAAAUACAGUAAUUUGUUACAUGAUGAAAUGGAACUGAAACUGCGUAAUGGCUAUAUCUUACCUGUUCAAAUUGAUUUAUUGAGUUGCCAAAUGAGGGGCCUUUUAUGUUUUUUCAAGCAUUUUGAGUUGAAAGGUGGGGAGUAUAUUCUGUUUGAGUACUUUGGACAUUGUAAGUUCAAUAUUUAUAUAAUUGGUACCAAUGGUUCGGAGAUUUGAUACCCGCAUAUAAUCAAUUGUCUACCUGCAAUAGAUUAGUAUAUCAUAUGUUAUAAAAAGUAGAUUUCUAUUAUUCUUAUAAUUAUUAUUUUAUUUUACAUGUUCAUGUAAUUUAUAGUUACAAUAGGCGAUGGUGGUUGGCGUUUUGUCAUAUGUGGUGUUGAGGGUGAUGGGGUCAUCGAUGAAAUUGAUCCUCCUGCUGGGUUCAUUGACCGUUGCGGUUUUGCUUUGCCGCAUCGUAUCAUGUUUGUUUUGAGUAAUGGAAAGAUGUUUGCUGGUUCAUAUAAUUCUGAGGCUUGCCGUUUUAGUGGUUUGAGUUCUAUGUUUCGGAUAUUAGGAAUAGAUAGUUUCAAUGGUGUGAGCAAGUUUCUAUUUACUUAUGAUGGGACGGAAUUUGUUUCCCAAGAACACCUCUUGCUAUUGAUGCGGAUGGUUAGUAUCCUGUAAUUGGCAAAUAUUUUGGAGUUACUAUGAAAAGUAAGCAUAUGUUCGAUGACUCCUUUAGAGUUGACAUCUCUAAUCAGUUUGAUGACCUGUGUCUGGAGUGGCAGCCCUUUCAUUGUAUUAAUGUUUAUUCGGGAACCGCCUUUUGGAGGCUUCUAAUCUGCAGAAGGGAAGACUUCUAUUGUUCCACUAUUGAAGAUGGGUGGCAAAAACUCCGUGAUGAUCUGCGGCUGAAUAUUGGCCAUGUUUGUGUUUUCCAAUGCCCUUUAAAAUCUUACGACCACUUUAGGAUUCGAGUUUGGAGGAUUGAUGAUGAAUACUAAAUAUUGAUAUUGGUGUUUGGAUUAUGAAUUUCUCAGACUUGUAGUAUUUGAAGGAGAAAAUUCUCAGACAAUCUGUUUUUGAAGCUUAGUAUAUUCUUCUUUGUGUUGUUUUAUAUUUCCAACUAAUGAAUUGUGUUAAGUGUGGAUAUUGUUUUGAACUAAAGACGUAUCCUGAAUGUAUUGAGGUUGAUUAUUGGUGACUAUUAACAGACAUUGAUUUUUUUUCUUUGAAUUUUAUG